GACGAACGCUGGCGGCGUGCUUAACACAUGCAAGUCGAACGGAAAGGCUCCUGCUUGCAGGGGUACUCGAGUGGCGAACGGGUGAGUAACACGUGGGUGAUCUGCCUUGUACUCUGGGAUAAGCUUGGGAAACUGGGUCUAAUAACGGAUAAUAACUGCCUUUAGUGUGGUGGUUGGAAAGUUUUUUCGGUGCAAGAUGAGCUCGCGGCCUAUCAGCUUGUUGGUGGGGUAAUGGCCUACCAAGGCGUCGACGGGUAGCCGGCCUGAGAGGGUGUACGGCCACAUUGGGACUGAGAUACGGCCCAGACUCCUACGGGAGGCAGCAGUGGGGAAUAUUGCACAAUGGGCGGAAGCCUGAUGCAGCGACGCCGCGUGGGGGAUGACGGCCUUCGGGUUGUAAACUCCUUUCGACAGGGACGAAGCUUUUUGUGACGGUACCUGUAUAAGAAGCACCGGCUAACUACGUG
rnacentral:rRNA from 1 species